rnacentral:lncRNA from 1 species
AUUACUAUACAAAUCCUUGAACCAUUUUAACACGUUUACUUUAACAGUUUAAUAUUAUUCAAAAUAAGUGGACCCCUCUUUUAGAAAAAGUUGUUUAAAAUAUGAUGUUACUCUCCUCUUUUUGAGUACAAAAUUCUAAGUUUUCAAAGGUUUUGUAUAGAAGAACUAUACAAAUCCUUGGUAUUUCUAUUUUCUUUUCUACAUCAGUAAAAUGACCCCUUGUCUGAGGGAGGGUUGUUCUCAACCUGAUAACAAACACAGGUCAAAGUACGGCCUUUUACACAGGGCUUUGAUACAGACCAAACAGCAGGCUAUAAAGGACCCCAAAAUUAUUAGCGUACACAAUUCGAACAGAAAAAGAACGAUCUAAUUUAUAUAUCAUGUAUAUCCAAACGGGAAAAUACCAAUGAACAACAUCAACAAACGAUAACUGCUGAACGACAGGCCCCUCAAUCAAUCAGGACAUGUGCAUAAACAUGCAGCGGCUAUGGAUAGUUUCGUUUCGCUAGCAUACAAUAUAAUUGCAGUUGAAGGCAAAUCCUUCAGAAGUUCUUUGUACUUUAUUCUAACAACGAACAUUUUUUGAUAGGGAAUAUAAGUAAGGGGGAAAGUAACCAAUUUUUUGUUCUUUACAGGUAUUUCCGCUGUUAUAAAUUUAUAUCGGAGCACUCCCGCUUUGGAUAAAUAGGUUUCAUGCUGAAACAAAUAUUCUCACAGAUAUUUACAAAGUGUGGUGGGGUGCUUUUAUGUUUAAACUCGUUAUAUACAGGUUAGACUGUGAUUUUAAAAACAAAUGUUGAUAUCUUUUUUAUAAUAUUUACAAAAAAAAACGGUGCAGGAAAUGGACAUGAUUACAUUUCCGGAUGCGGGAAGCGGGAAUAUAAAAGAAAAAUAAAAAAAUUCUGUUUUGAAAAAAUAGGUGCGGGUGGGUCCGUCGAACAAGGAAUCAAAUUGGUGUGGCCUAAUGUUAUUUUAGCUUUUUAAAAGUAUGAUAUAGCCAAGCUUUGGGAAAUAUUGUCUGAUCCCAGAUUAGGAGAGGGUUGAGUGCUCACAAACAUGUUUAACCAUGCUAUUUUUCAUUUUAUGGCCUUUUAUGGCCUUUUAUAGCAGACUAUAUGGUAUAGGUUUUCUUAUUAUUGAAGGUUGUAUUGUUGCCUGUUAUUGCUUACAUCCUCUUCAUUUGAACUAGUUGUCUCAUUGGUCGUCAAACGACAUCUCCAUAUCUUUCUAUAGCAUAAGCUUUAUAAAAUUCAUUUUUAAAAUACCAUCAGGGGCUGAUCCAGCCAUUUAAAAAAAAGGGGGUCCAACUAGGAGAAAAAAGGGAGGGGGUUCAACCAUAUGUUCCCAUUCAAAUGCAUUGAUCAUCAAACAAAAAGAGGGGGUCCGACCACUGGUCCAUCCACAGGAAACUCCACUGACCAUCUUUCAUUAGAUACUGGUUCACAAAUUAUUCAAAAAUCAUACUUUUUGCAAUCAUCUUGGAAGAAUUUCCUUUAAGUCUGAAUGUUUAACGAAAUGUUUAUAUUGCCAUCAUUUUUUAAACCGGUGGUGUACUAUUAUUUGUUAUUAUUGAAUUAAGUAGUUCACUUGCAUUAAUAUUUGGGUUUGAUUAUAUUGUUUUAACAAGUUUUGUCUAUUUUAUUGUAUAUCCAUCUUGAAAAGGUUUACUUCUAGUAUAGAUUGGAAAAAAAUAUAAUACAAGACAAUAAAAUGUAUUUGAUCAUAAAAUAAAGAUAAGUAAACAGAUUUUUUUUAAACCAUGAAAAUGUAAUAAAAAAAAUUUACACAAAUUUAGAGCAUAUUUUAAGGAAGAUAUUCCAAAUGUUUUUACAAAAAUCAAGUUGAAGUGGAUGGACAACACAGUCAACAGUAUUUGAAACUGUAUGUGUUAUGGUUAGGGUUUCAUUGAUACUGUAUGUGUUAUGGUAAGGGUUUCAUUGAUACAUUGAGAAGUUUACAUUAAUAAAAAAUUGUACUGUAUUUUCAAUUGUAAUGAAGAAUUGUCCAAACUUAAAUUUAGACAGUUAAAGAGUAUAUUCAUACUUUUUAAAUUUGUCCAGGAUUCAUCAGUGUGUUUUAUUUGUUCAAAAUUUGAGAAAAAACAGGUUGCUAUAAUCUAUUAACAAUGUGAAAAAUACUUAAGAUAACACAUUUGAUAAAACGGGUUUUUCUUUUCAUUUUUUGUUGCACCACGGUCCUGAGAUACUUUUCUUGGACUUUCUGUGUCAUUCAGUCUGUAAAUUUUAAACUUCUUUGUAAAAAAACUCAAAAUAUUUGAUAUUGUUUAAACAGGUACAUUUAGGAUUAACUCUGUAGCAGCUAAGUAAAGGGACAGGGAAGAUAUAAAUACACCUUAUCGCUAUUUGUCCGCCAUUACUGCAUAUCACACAGGUUCCCGUAAAAUUUUGACGUCAUAAAACAAAAUAUCUGACGCCACAAAGGAAAAGUGAUUGUUGUAUGCGUCAAAAAUUCAAGCGGCCGGGUCAACCGGGAUUAGUGAUUAGGUGUAUUGUCUCAAACAGGUAAAAUCUUUUAACAGCCCUGAGUUCUAGGUAAUACCUCUAAUCAAUUAAAAAGAUAGCUUCUAUAUGAGAAGCCGUAAUUAAAACUAAGAUAUAAAAGCAGCUCCUUAUCCUGAUAAUCAAAUCAUAAAAGAUAUGUAUUUCUUUUCGACACAGGAUUGAAGUAGUUUAACAUUAGCAAAAUUCAAUUUACCGGUAAACAUUUCAAGGGCUGUCUGGCAUUUUAAUUGCUUUAAAAACAAAUCUAAAGUAUGCAUUGAAUAUAUCUCAUUUAAAUUUUUAUUUAUUUAUUAUUUGUUUAUAAUUUAUAACAUGUAUUUUAUGUUUUUACAUUUUUCUUUCCUUUGAAAGAUUUUAUACAAAAGUAACAAAUAUAAUUGUUAUAUAGGGAGA